rnacentral:rRNA from 1 species
UACGGAGGAUGCGAGCGUUAUACGGAUUUAUUGGGUUUAAAGGGUGCGUAGGCGGGCUUUUAAGUCAGCGGUAAAAAUUCGGGGCUCAACCCCGUCCGGCCGUUGAAACUGGGGGCCUUGAGUGGGCGAGAAGAAGGCGGAAUGCGUGGUGUAGCGGUGAAAUGCAUAGAUAUCACGCAGAACCCCGAUUGCGAAGGCAGCCUUCCGGCGCCCUACUGACGCUGAGGCACGAAAGUGCGGGGAUCGAACAGG